UACGUAGGGUGCAAGCGUUGUCCGGAAUUAUUGGGCGUAAAGAGCUCGUAGGCGGUCUGUCGCGUCGGCUGUGAAAACCCGGAGCUCAACUCCGGGCCUGCAGUCGAUACGGGCAGGCUGGAGGCAGGCAGGGGAGAACGGAAUUCCCGGUGUAGCGGUGAAAUGCGCAGAUAUCGGGAGGAACACCGGUGGCGAAAGCGGCUCACUGGACCAUUACUGACGCUGAGGCACGAAAGCUAGGGGAGC
rnacentral:rRNA from 1 species